AUUGAACGCUGGCGGCAGGCCUAACACAUGCAAGUCGAGCGCGCGGCGGACGGGUGAGUAAUGUCUGUGAAACUGCCCGAUGGGGGGGGAUAACUCCUGGAAACGGUGGCUAAUACCGCAUACCCUCAGAUGUGCCCAGAUGGGAGUAGCUAGUAGGUGGGGUAAGGGCUCACCUAGGCGACGAUCCCUAGCUGGUCUGAGAGGAUGACCAGCCACACUGGAACUGAGACACGGUCCAGACUCCUACGGGAGGCAGCAGUGGGGAAUAUUGCACAAUGGGCGCAAGCCUGAUGCAGCCAUGCCGCGUGUGUGAAGAAGGCCUUCGGGUUGUAAAGCACUUUCAGCGGGGAGGCGUUACCCGCAGAAGAAGCACCGGCUAACUCCGUGCCAGCAGCCGCGGUAAUUC
rnacentral:rRNA from 1 species